AUUCUACUUUGGAGAGUUUGUUGAUGAGGCUACAGACUGUGAUGAGAACAUUUCAGCAUUGCAUGCAGGAAUAGCAGAAGUAGCUGCUGCUAAGGCUCGGAUGUUUGUUAACAAACCAGAUGGAAUGGUCAGGGAAGAGAGGGGUCCAUAUAGUGAUCCUCAACAUCCCUAUUUCUAUGAGGAAGAAGAUGUGUGGAUGGCACCAGGCUUCAUCAAUCAGUUCUAUAAAGUCCCUGAUUACUGGAAAAGAUAUGUGCAAGAUGUGGAUCAGGAAAGAGAAAUGUGGUUAAAUUCCUUCUAUAAAGCUCCGUUGAGAUUACCUAUGCCUGCUGAGCUUGAGUACUGGUGGUCAAAUGAAGAUGAGGAUCCUGAAUUUGUUAUUCUUAACAAGGAACCAGAACCUGAUCCUGAAGACCCAUCAAAGCUUAUAUAUACUGAAGAUCCUGUAAUCUUACACACAAAAACUGGACGAAUAAUCAAUUACAUCGAGGAUGAAGAACAUGGGGUUCGUUUGUUUUGGCAACCUCCUCUUAAAGAUGGAGAAGAUAUGGAUCCUGAAAAGGUUCAGUUCCUACCUCUAGGUUUUGAUGAGUUUUACGGAAAAGAGACAGUGGUGAAGAAAGAAAAUAUCUGGCAGCGUCUUCUAACAGCAGUGGAAAAUGCAUUUAAGCCAAUGCUUGAAAGACUAGAGAAAUGGACUGAAGAGAAGAAGAAAACUAGUGAGAUGAAAAUUAAGCUGCUUGAAGAAGAACUUGCACUGGCAGAGGCCGAAUCGUCUCUGGAAGAGGCCAUUGAAGACAUGGAUGAGGAGUUGAAGAUGCAAGAGAAAGAGGAGGAGAAGGCAGAAAUAGGUUUGCAGGAGGAAGAGGAUAGUUCUGUAUCACCUGAUCAAGAUCAGAGAUCUGUAGUUGAAGAGGAAGAAGAAGCUGAGGAUGAGGAAGAUGAUGAGGAUGAUGAUAUUACGCCAUCAAGUUUUGGGUCUGUAAGCCAAGAUGAGGGCCCAACAAAGAACGACCAGAAAGGAAAAAGACCUGGGGAAACUCCUUUCUCCUCAUGUUCAUUGUCAUUUGCCUCUUCUAGCCUUCUUUCAGCUGUUCCAUCUGGGUUACAAAAAUCCUUUUUGGCUUGGAAGGGAAGAACAGAUUGCCACAAAAGUCAACUUCUUCCUUGCCUGCAGAGGGCCCUAAUGUCCUUCCAGGAGAGGUUAAUUCAGUCAGUUUUCCCGCAAUCAUUGGCCAAAAAGGAAGCUUGAAAGCUAAAAGCAAUGGGAAUCAAAUGUUUCAGUCAAGAAAUCGUUCCAUCGGAAAGAUGUCGUUACAUUCUUUAUCCCGAAUUCUGUUGUGUCCUCCAGCUUCACGAAACCCUGAAAAGAGACUAAAUAUUUCAAGAAAACAGAGCCAUGCUUGGCUGCAUGCAGCACCAGAGAGAGAUUCAGACAUCAUAUUGUCAUUGCAC
rnacentral:misc_RNA from 1 species